CUGGGGGCGGCGACCAAGGAAGAUCUUCCCCGCGUCCAGUCCACCCUUGCAGCUGCGCCAGGCCUUUCUCGCGGCCAAGCCCCCCGAACCCGCAGAAAGACUCUAGAGCGGCGCGAGCCAGGCCGCGGGCCGCGCUAGGCGCAGUCCCGCAACCCAGGAGUCGGGCACCGGCGCGGGGCGGCGGCCUGCGGGAUGAGCAGUGUUCUCCGGGAUCUGGGUCGCGUCUCUCGGCGCCCGGCGGGAUUGUAGGAGAGCUUGUCCUCGAGCUGCAGCAGUAAAGACUGAGAAAACCAAUUUAAGAGAACAAGGACUAGGCCUGCUGUCGAGGACAGGGUGACCACAUCCGUGAUCUACAACCUUUCUGUGACCCUACGACUUCCUUCUUCACCAUGGAGCUGGUAUUUGAUGCAGAAAGGCUGCGUGUGAUCCGUCCCUUCCUCUGACCUCUUAGCUGGGAUUCCAUGGCCACACAACCCUGCGACCCCAUGUCCCCCCGAUUCCAGGAUCCCCCCUGGCCCCAUGACUCAGUGACCCCCAUGCCUUCAUGACCCCUCGCCUUCCACGUGACUUCCCUGAACCUUGACCCCUGAGACUGUUCUUUCUAUAACCCCCUUCUUGUGACUUGGCCCUGGCUCCCAUUGGGGAUCUGGUUGGUCUGGGCCUCCCCAGGAAGAUGUGGGGAAGGCUCUGGCCCCUCCUCCUGAGCUUCCUGGCAGCCACAGCAGUCCCCGGACCCUCCCUACGAAGACCGUCCAGAGAACUAGAUGCUAUCCCGCGGGUUACCAUCCCCUACGAAGAGCUCUCUGGGACCCGGCAUUUCAAGGGCCGAGCCCAGAACUACUCAAUCCUGCUGCUGGAGGAAGCUUCAGGAAGGCUGCUGGUGGGAGCCCGAGGUGCCCUGUUCUCUCUCAACGCUCUAGACAUAGGAGAUGGGACUCACAAAGAGAUCCCCUGGGAGGCCUCCCCAGAGAUGCAAAGCAAAUGUCAUCAAAAAGGGAAAAACAACCAGACUGAGUGCUUCAACCACGUGAGGUUCCUGCAGCGGCUCAAUGCCACCCACCUCUAUACAUGUGGGACGCAUGCCUUUCAGCCCCUCUGUGCAGCCAUUGAUGCUGAGGCCUUCACGUUGCCAACCAGCUUCGAGGAGGGCAAGGAGAAAUGUCCUUACGACCCUGCCCAUGGCUUCACAGGCCUCAUCAUUGAUGGGGGCCUCUACACAGCCACGCGCUAUGAAUUCCGGAGCAUUCCUGACAUCCGCCGGAGCCGCCACCCCUACUCCCUGAGGACUGAGGAGGCACCGAUGCACUGGCUCAAUGAUGCUGAGUUCGUGUUCUCUGUCCUGGCACGGGAGAGCGAGGCCAGUGCAGUGGGGGACGAUGACAAGGUUUACUACUUCUUCACGGAGCGUGCAGCCGAGGAGGGCUCUGGCAGCUUCACUCAGAGCCGCAGCAGCCACCGCGUAGCCCGUGUGGCCCGUGUCUGCAAGGGAGACCUGGGAGGGAAGAAGAUCCUGCAGAAGAAGUGGACAUCCUUUCUGAAGGCGCGUCUCAUCUGCCACAUUCCACAGUAUGAGACUCUGCGUGGUGUCUGCAGCCUGGAUGCUGGCAACUCAGCCCACACACGCUUCUAUGCAGCCUUCACGUUGACCACACAGUGGAAGACGCUGGAGGCCUCAGCUGUCUGCCGCUAUGACCUGGCAGAGGUGCAGGGAGUCUUCACAGGCCCCUACAUGGAGUACCAGGAUGGCAUCCGACGCUGGGGCCGCUAUGACGGUGGGGUGCCUGAGCCCCGGCCUGGCUCGUGCAUCACAGACUCACUGCGCAGCCGAGGCUACAACUCAUCCCGGGAUCUGCCUUCCCUGGUCCUGGACUUUGUGAAGUUGCACCCACUGAUGGCUCGGCCUGUGGUGCCCACACGCGGACGGCCCCUCCUGCUCAAGCGCAGCGUGCGCUAUACACACCUCACAGGAACACCUGUCACCACACCUGCUGGACUCACCUAUGACCUGCUUUUUCUGGGCACAGCUGAUGGCUGGAUCCACAAGGCCGUGGUUCUGGGUUCUGGAAUGCACAUCAUUGAAGAGAUACAAGUGCUAAGAGAACCCCAGUCUGUGGAGAAUCUGGUCAUCUCUCUGACACAGCACAGCCUCUACGUGGGGGCCCCUAGUGGAGUCAUCCAGCUACCACUGUCCAGCUGCUCCCGCUACGACUCCUGCUACGACUGCAUCCUGGCCCGGGACCCCUACUGCGGCUGGGACCCCAGCACCCAUGCCUGCAUGGCAGCUGCCACCAUAGCCAACAGGACAGCACUGAUACAGGACAUAGAGAGAGGAAACCGAGGCUGUGAAGACAGCAGGGACACAGGGCCUCCACCACCACCACUGAAGACCCGCUCUGUACUCCGGGGUGAUGACGUCCUCCUGCCCUGUGACCAGCCGUCUAACCUGGCCCGGGCAUUGUGGCUGCUCAAUGGGAGCGUGGGCCUGAGUGAUGGGCAGGAUGGCUACCGCGUGGGCGUGGAUGGGCUGCUGGUGACAGACACACAGCCUGAGCACAGUGGCAACUAUGGCUGCUAUGCUGAGGAGAAUGGCCUCCGCACUCUGCUGGCCUCUUACAGCCUCACCGUCCAGCCAGCCGCUCCUGCCCCAGCUCCACAGGCUCCUGCCAUGCCUGGGACCCAACUGGCACCUGAUGUGAGGCUGUUCUAUGUGCUAGCCAUUGCUGCCCUUGGUGGCCUCUGCCUCAUCCUGGCCUCCUCCCUUCUCUAUGUGGCCUGUCUGCGGGGAGGAGGACGAGGGCACCGACGGAAAUACUCACUGGGCCGAGCCGGCCGUGCAGGGGGCUCUGCUGUGCAGCUGCAGACUGUCUCCGGCCAGUGUCCUGGAGAAGAAGAUGAGGGUGAUGAUGCGGAGGGGGCUGGGGGCCUGGAGGGCAGCUGCCUCCAGAUCAUCCCUGGGGAAGGAGCCCCAGCCCCACCUCCCCCACCACCCCCACCACCCCCUGCCGAGCUGACCAAUGGGUUGGUGGCACUGCCCAGUCGGCUACGUAGGAUGAAUGGCAACAGCUACGUACUCCUGAGGCAGAGUGACAAUGGAGUGCCCGCAGGGCCCUGCUCCUUUGCUGAGGAGCUCAGCCGCAUCCUGGAGAAGAGGAAGCACACACAGCUUGUAGAGCAGCUUGAUGAGAGCUCCGUCUGAGCCAGCUCCAAAACAAGUGCUCUGUCAAGCCAACCCGUCGGCCCUGGGCUGGUCCACUGCCUCUCUGACACAGCCACCCUACUUUCACAUCCCCUACUCUAGACCCUUCUCCCAACUUUUCCAUGUCCCUGUAGGGCUGGCCAGAGUCAGGCCCAGCCAAAGUCCCCUCCUCAGUCUCCAAAGACCCAUGUGUGAACAGCCCAGGCCCACCGGUGCUCCUCAGAGGCAGGGCUCUGCGGGUCCAGAUGGCCUCAUGUCACCACCCUCUGCAUGGCCCUGUGUGCUGGAUAGUCCUGAAGCCAGAGGAGACCUCUGCCAGCCACCAGAGCCACCUGAGCCCUGUGUCCAUUCACAUGCGCACAUGGAAGAAUGUCAAUCUGCUGGGCUGUGGUGCCCCACCCUGCCUUCUCCUGGUGCAUUCUUUCUUGUGUUUCACCCUUUGGACUUCGGGUACCCUCUCAAUUGCCACAUCCCAUUCUAUCUCAUACCCUCCUCCAGUCCCAGCCCCAUGUAGUAACCUCUCUUGUAAGACCUUGAGCACAGGCCAGCCUAGGGAGAGAAGACUGCAUCAUUCCCCUCUUCUCCCUUCCUGUGCACCCCUGUGAGUCAGCCUCCUCACUCCCCUUGGUCACUCCUGAGUGACAGAGAAAGAGCUCCAGGCAUGUCCCUUACGCACACAUAGUAACACACACUAUACCACAAAUGUGCUUAUAUUUCCACUCACAUGUACCUUCUUAGCUUCCCCUUGCCACCACAGACAUGUGUCGGAUUUGGUCCAUGGACAUUUCAGAGGGAGGUCCCCCUCCUGUUUAGCUGUCCUUGCAGACCCUUCCCUAGGACAGGUGACCAACACUGCACUCAAUGAGCCAGCCUCCCUUUCAGUGGGGAUCAAGCAUUUGCUACCCCUAGACCAGCGCGGGGGAAGGGAGGAGCGAUCUGAUGUCUCCCCUGGCACAUGAAGCCCUUUCUUGGAACUAUGCAAAGGGCAGAGGCUGGGAGUUUGGAUGCUUGGCUCCCACCCCUGUCCUACCUCACCGUGGCACUUUCAGGGUCCAGGAGCCUCGGAAGUCUCCAGGCCCAUAUGGAACAAUCAAAUCCUGACCGAGCUCCCCCAGUCCCCUUGGGUGAGGAAGACUGUUAUUUUUGUAGCUGAGAACGUGGAAUCCCACGGGUUUUUACUUCCCUUCAUCCAGCCUCUCCCACCUCCACCCUACAAUGAAUGUAUUUAUUUUGAGAAUGGCUAUACUUUAGGAAUGCCCCAUUCACCACCCAGGUGGGUGCAACAGGCAUGUGACAGAGUGGGGAGCCUGGGCUCAGCUCCUCCCCCAUGUUGGUUAAUAAAUACCCUCUUUCCCACAGCUGUGAGUGGUCUCCUUGGUCUAGACUGGCCUUUCCCUGGUCACCAGAGGACAGGCUCCAGAGCCUGUGGAGAAGCUGCUACAGUGAUUUCUGCAGCCAGGGUUGGCUGUGCUCAGCAUAGAACCAUUUGCAGAGGAAACUGGGAUCCUCAGCUUCCCUGGGAUCCAACUAUUCACUGAUCAUGGUAAUACCAAACCCACUGCUGUCGAGUCGAUUCCGACUCAUAGCGAUCCUAUAGGACAGAGUAAAACUGCCCCAUAUAGUUUCCAAGGAGCGCCUGGUGGAUUCGAAAUGCCGACCCUUUGGUUAGCAGCCGUAGCACUUAACCACUGCUCCACCAGGGUUUCCUCAUGGUAAUAAGGGGCAUGACAACAGGGGAAUUACAGGUUAGAGAAUUCAUACAAGAGUGUCUAGGUUUUUUACUUCUUGCUUCUUUUCCUCACCACCCUUUUUUAGCUAAGCCUAGAUGAUGCUCGUUAUUUAUCAGCCCUCCUGUUCAACCCCAAGAAGCUUUUCAACCCUCCCCCCAACAAGGGAAGGAAUGAAUUCAUUUCUGAACAAAAAUGGGCCUGUGUAGGGGAGGUAGAGCAACAGGAGGGCAGAAAAGUUUCUUACCAUGGACUUGGCCUGAGAAUCACACCCUCCAGGGGUCAGGCCUAGAUUAAUCACAUGGCCUUUGACACUAACCACCCUGUUAGGUUCUGGUUUUCGAAUAAUGAAAAAACGGGGCUU